rnacentral:lncRNA from 10 species
GGGGAAAGUGGUUCACUAUGUAAAGAAAAGUAAAACUGGAUCCCUACCUUACAGCAUACGCAAAUAAAACUCCCAACUCUGUCAGAUAUUUAGAAUUGAUAGGGCUAUAAAUUUAAGAGAAGAAAUGUAGAAUUUUCUUGUCUCUUCAAAAUAAGGAAGAAUUUACUUUUUAAUAGGGGAAAUAAAAACAUAAGCCAAUCAAAAUUAAACAUUUUCUUCAUAAACCAUUGACAGGGUUCAGAACAUUCUACCCUAAAAUAUGUCAUCUCAGCAUAUUGAAUAUUUUAAGCUGAAGAAAUUUGAGAAAUAGCAGAUACAAAAAGGACUCUCUGACUGUGCCCUGGACCAGGCCAUAGAUGCUUUAUGUGAGAGGUGCCCUCCAUAGACUCAGAGGAAAGGAGACUAUCUCCAAAACAGAGAGACACUGAGAGGAAGCUGAAUGAACAGGUCUUACCAAGGUUCCCCCAGUUUGCACCUAGCUAAUACCCCUUCAUCCUAUCCUUUCCAGUCUUCAUCAACUCUAGUCUAAAAACACACUGGGUUAACUGUUUCUUCAGGUUUUCAUUUGUUUAUGAAGGCUCCUGUGACACAUAAAACAUAUUAAAUAAAUGUGUAUGUUUUCUCUUAUUAAUAUGUUCUUUGUUACAGAGAUAUUUUUCGUUUUCUACACCAUGAACAGAGGAAACAGAUCUUUUGCCCCUUGAUUACUAACCCAAUUUCUGUCUUCAUAGCCAUCAGUGAAGAUUUUGGUGAGCAAAAUGUCUAGGGAAGUUAGAGACAGCGGAAGAAAGAAGCCUAGAAUAUUUUACCCCCAAAAAUGAUACCCUAGUAUGCUGAUUUAUUUUAAAUUAAAGGUCCCUGAAGUUCAACAGAUGCUGAAAGACAAUUAUAUAUAUAUAUAUAUAUGUAUGUAUCUUUUUGUUUUUGAGACUGAGUAUCCCUCUGUCACCCAGGCUGGAGUGCAGUGACAUGAUCUCAGCUCACUAAAACCUCAGUCUCCUGAGUUCAAGUUAUUCUCCUGCCUCCAUCUCCCAAUUCUCCUGCCUCAAGCUCCCAAGAAGCUGGGAUUACAGAUGCCCACUACCCCACAUGGGUAAUUUUGGUAUUUUUGUAGAGACGGGGUUUCACCAUGUUGGCCAGACUGGUCUCAAACUCCUGAGCUCAAGUAAUCCGCCUGCUUCGGCCUUCCAAAGUGCUGGAAUUACAGUCAUGAACCACGGUUGAUAUUUCUUUAUUUACCUUAAGACCGGACCCGCCAAAGAGAACACAAUUGCCUUCCAUCCCCUCCCUGAAGUCCCAUUAUCUAUCACAGAAAAGAAGAUGGAAGAAUGCAACCACACCUGGAUAGGCUUUUUCCAAAGAUAAUAUCUGACUCUCAGGAUCAUUCAAAAAGCAUCAUCUAUAAGUUAAUUUCUGUUUCCUGGGUCCAUUCAUUCUCCUUAAUUAUUGUUUACUAUCCAACAAAAAAAAUUGUCUACAUUCUCUAUCUCCCACUCCCUAUGAAGAAG